GACGAACGCUGGCGGCGUGCUUAACACAUGCAAGUCGAACGGAAAGGCCCUGCUUUUGUGGGGUGCUCGAGUGGCGAACGGGUGAGUAACACGUGGGUAACCUGCCCUUGACUUUGGGAUAACUUCAGGAAACUGGGGCUAAUACCGGAUAGGAGCUCCUGCUGCAUGGUGGGGGUUGGAAAGUUUCGGCGGUUGGGGAUGGACUCGCGGCUUAUCAGCUUGUUGGUGGGGUAGUGGCUUACCAAGGCUUUGACGGGUAGCCGGCCUGAGAGGGUGACCGGCCACAAUGGGACUGAGAUACGGCCCAGACUCCUACGGGAGGCAGCAGGGGGGAAUAUUGCACAAUGGGCGGAAGCCUGAUGCAGAAACGCCGCGUGCGGGAUGACGGCCUUCGGGUUGUAAACCGCUUUCGCCUGUGACGAAGCGUGAGUGACGGUAAUGGGUAAAGAAGCACCGGCUAACUACGUG
rnacentral:rRNA from 1 species